CCAGCCGACUCACCGGCUUUCAGACCAUGGCCAACCUCGAGCGUACCUUCAUUGCCAUCAAGCCAGAUGGCGUGCAGCGUGGCCUGGUUGGUGAGAUCAUCAAGCGAUUCGAGCAAAAGGGGUUCCACCUGGUGGCCAUGAAGUUCCUUCGGGCCUCUGAAGAACACCUGAAGCAGCAUUACAUCGACCUGAAGGACCAUCUUUUCUUCCCGGGGCUGGUGAAGUACAUGAACUCGGGGCCUGUGGUGGCCAUGGUCUGGGAGGGGCUCAAUGUGGUGAAAACGGGCCGAGUGAUGCUGGGGGAGACCAAUCCAGCUGAUUCAAAACCAGGCACCAUUCGUGAGGAUUUCUGCAUUCAAGUUGGCAGGAACAUCAUUCAUGGUAGUGAUUCGGUGGAGAGUGCCAAGAAAGAGAUCCGUCUAUGGUUUAAGCCUGAAGAACUGAUAGACUACAAGUGUUGUGCCCAUUACUGGGUGUACGAGUAGAUGUGGAGAAACCAGAGUCCUUUUCAGCACUACUGAUGGGUUUCUGGACAGAGCUCUUCAUCCCACUGACAGGAUGGAUCAUCUUUUCUAAAACAAUAAAGACUUUGGAAUUG